GGGCUGGCACUGGCAUGGCAAAGACAAAUGGCAGGAUCGCUACAUAGUGCACUGUGUACAGACUAAUACCAAUGACUUCAUAAAAACCUAGAACUGGUUGAAUGCAUUUACUAACACAAUGAUAUAUAACAACAUAUAUAAAACAUUAUAUGAUCAAAAUGCAUAAAUUCAUGAACAAAACCCUCCAACAACAUUUACAAAUGCAUUACAACCUCUCUGAACAUAUCGCCGAGGUUUUGUCUCCCCCCGUCCUUAUAAUAAAUUUGUUAAAACAAUUGAAUACACUCAAAAAACUGAUUCAAGCCCUUCUUUGAUGUAACACAUUUAAUUGUUGUUUGAUUUAUUAAAAUCCAUCUAUUAAAAAACUUAAACAUCUACAUUUAAUUGAGAUAACAAAAUAAUUUCACCUUGACAUUCACUAACUCAAAACAGCCCAUUGCGCAUGUGCGAGGCAACAAGCUCCAACCGUCUCUUUCUCCCGGUCUUCUUCUCGGAGUCGAACAUUUUCCGUUGACACUGCUGCGAGAUAUAGCUGUUUUCCACUAUUCCACUGGUUUCCACUCAAUGUUUCAUUAAUGGUACCAUGCUACUGGGGGCAACCUCUUGAUGAUUCAUAAUGAAUGUGGAAGUGCAAAGAAUGCAGUGUAGAACUACCUAGCAGGUAUUUGUUGCUGAAGCAUUUCAGGCAGACACAUGGGCAUUUUAGGGGUAGUUAUUACUUUCCAUGUCCAUACACAGAUUGCCCUUGUACAUUUAAUACAUGGACUAAGCUAUUAAAUCACACAUAUAAAAGUCAUGCUAAACAACCAACUCCAAAGCCAUUAGAAGUAUCUACAUUCCAGUGUCAUGUGUGUUCUUGCAGAGAACUAGCUACAGAAAGAGAUUUUUUUCAACACCUAAAUGGUCAUCUCAGGCAGAAUGAGACAGUUCCAUGUGUGUUUUUAGGCUGUACAUUUAAAACCAACAUUUACAGUACAUUUAACACACACAAAAACAGGAAACACAACCAAUAUUCAUUAAAAGACUUUCAAGCAAAUCUCAUCAGUACAAGUACUAAUUUGAAUCAGUCAGAUAAUUCUGCAGAUGGGCUAACAGAAUCCAUAGACACAGAUCAUGAAUAUGAAACACUAAAUUGUGAUAAUUCUGCAGAGUUACACCCAACUAAUUUUAUUGAGGAGAAAAUUGCAUGCAUUUUGUUCAAGUUGGAAAAUAUUGUUCAUAUUCCGAAAGCUGUAAUUGAUGAGGUCCUCUCAGAACUUCACUAUGUAUUAAGUACAGAAUCUUUGCCUUUCACAAAAGCUACAGUUUCAGCUGUAUUUCAGAGCCAUUAUCUAGAAGUUGAAGAUUCAGUCGUUGAUGAGAUUUCCACUGUUAUAUGUAAAUCUAACCCAUUAGGCAUAGCUAUUGCAAAGGAUGGCCCUCUUGCUACUGCUUAUAUACGUGCACAAUAUUAUACUUCUCAUUUUAGGGUAGUCGAGCCAGUUGAGUACAUACUAGAUGCCCAAAAGAAAAGGACAUUUCAGUACAUACCUCUAUUGCAAUCUUUGCAGCAGUUGCUCUCUCAUAAAGGUGUCCUUGAUCAUCUCGAAACUCCAAGAAUACAAAGCCAGCUAUUGUCUUCCUUACAAGAGUACCGAACCAUAAGAGACGGUCAGUACUUUAAACAAAAUCCUUUCCUGUCUGAAGGUGAAGGUUUUAGAAUAGCAGUUCAUCUUUAUGUUGAUGAUUUCGAGAUAUGUAACCCUCUCGGGACGUCUCGAAAAAAACACAAACUCUGUGGUGUCUACUGGGUUUUGGGUAAUUUGCCACCAGGUUCCCAUUCAAAACCAACCUCAAUCUAUUUAGCUAUUCUUUGCAAAUCUGAUGACGUCAAAUCCUAUGGCUUUAAAAAAGUGUUAGAGCCACUUUUGCAAGACCUGAAUAUACUAGAACAGCACGGAGUCUUUGUUUCGCAGGUUGGUCAGUUCGUUAAAGGUUCUGUGCAGUGUGUAAUUGCUGACAAUCUUGGUGCCCAUGCGAUAGGUGGUUUUGUUGAGAGUUUUUCUAGCGGGUCAGUGUGCAGAUAUUGUACAGGAGAUAAGUCAGAAUUUCAGACCAAGGAUGUGAAGUCUGGUGCUUUUCAACUUAGAACCAGAGAUAUACACGACGUUCAUGCUCUGUCUGCUCAAGAAAGUGCAACUAUCUGCUGUGGUGUCAAAAAGCAGUGUGUUUUAACAGAGCACCUUUCUCAUUUUCAUGUCAGCACUGGCUAUCCUCCAGACAUUGUGCACGACCUCUUUGAGGGUGUUGUUCCAGUCGAACUCGCACGCUGCAUCAGUUUAUUGAUCUCCAAAAAAUACUUUACUCUUGAUUUCCUUAACACAUUGAUUCAAACAUUUCCAUACAAAUGGGGAGACAAAACCAAUCGCCCACAUGCCAUACCACGCUCUUUCACAUCUAGAAACAGUGUUGGCGGUAAUGCACACGAAAAUUGGGCAUUGUUAAGAUUUCUCCCCUUUCUGAUUGGGCAUAUUGUACCAGAAGAUGAACCAGCAUGGCUGGUCAUUUUGGAUCUUAAGGAUAUUGUUGAGUUGGUUGUGGCCCCUGUACACACAGAUGAGACCAUCGCAUAUCUUGAGGCCAAGAUCUAUGAUCACAGACAGCGCUAUCUUGAACUCUUUCCACAUGCUAAGCUCCUACCUAAACAUCACUUUGUAGAGCAUUAUCCGGAAAUGAUCCGUUGCUUUGGACCUCUGGUUGCAUUGUGGACAAUGAGGUUUGAGUCAAAGCAUAGCUUUUUCAAGCAGGUUGCUCGGCACACAAACUGCUUUAAAAAUAUACCUCGCUCACUCGCUAUUAAACAUCAGUUUAUGCUUGCCUAUCACACACAUGCCUCCACCCUCAAGAAGUCAUCCUUGGAGGUCACAGAUGUCUCCGUCAUGCCUGUCGAUGUCCUUAGUGAGGAAAUAAGGUCUAACCUGCAUCAGAGAUAUCCAGAGGUGACUGAGGUCCAUAUGGCAAAACAUUUGUCUCACAGUGGUGUAUGUUACCGCAAAGGGAUGCUCAUUGUACAUGGAUCUUUAGAUGGACUUCCAAAAUUUAAUGAGAUAAUUCAGCUGUGCAUUGUAAAGGAGAAGCUGUGUUUUCUAGUGAGAGAUGUCUGUGCUUGGUAUAGGGAGCAUUAUGGUGGCUUUGAACUGUCUGCCUCACCUACUACAGAGGUUGCCCUUAUUGAGCAUGGUGACUUGGAGGACCCAUAUCCCCUUGUGGAAUACAGCGUUGGGGGUCUGCGCAUGGUAAUGUUGAAAAGAUUUGUCAUCGUUAAAGAUCAGGAGUAAAGGUGUACCACAAUGGCAGAUCCAGUUGUUCUGCGGAUCAUCUUUGGUGAUGGAACUGACUCAAGAAAAUUGCACCUGGUUUCUGGAAUUCCAGAAACAGUGGCUGAACUUCAUCAUCUUGUAAAGACAUGCUUUCAAUUGCAUGAGGACUUCCGUAUGCAGUACAUGGAUUCUGAUUUUAAGGAGUUCAUGAAUCUAACUUCAACAUCUGAAAUCCAAAAUAAGAGCACAGUCAAAGUAAUAUACAUGUCUCUCACACCACCUGAGGAUUCCUACAUCACAUUGCACCCAGUGGAACCAUCUGAUGAGACUACUACUAGCUCAAAUGCUCAAACAUUUUGUUCUUCAUCAGUAGCCUCAUCAAGCAGCGCUGAUACGCUCUACACAUCGACUCCACAUUCAUCCCCAGAAAUUCAGCUUGGGGGGUUGUCCUCCUGGCCCAAAGUCUUUGUGGUCCCUAAAUUCACCUAUGAGGCUGAAUUUGAGCUACAGCAAAAGAACAAUGAGUUUGAAACAAAUGGAACACACUUCAACCCUGGCUGAAAAGCUAAAAGGUAUCAUCCUUGAUGGUCUAGCUCAGGAAAUGAUUAAAUACACCAAAUACCCAAAAGACUACCAGUGUGAAGAGGUAGCAGCAGCUUUGACAAGGACCCAUCCUUGUUUGGGGCAGCUAGGAUCCAAGACGGGAUUUUGGGGAUGGAAACAGUCUCUAAAAUAUAAAAUGCAAAAUUAUCGAACAAAGCUUGGGAGACUCGGUCAUCCUGAAAUCCGUGUGAACUCCUUGAAACAUAAGCGAGAAGGCCAAGGCAAAGCUGCAGCUAAUAUCAAGAAGCCUAGAAAGGCUGAAGUUAACUACAUUCCUCUACACCCAAAAGGUGAAACUGCAGAGAGCUUGGAGAAUGAGAGAAUUGCUUUAUUGUCAGAACUGAAAAAGCGUGACAAUGAAGUAGUGAUAAAAGCAAAAAUGGAGAAAACCUUCUCCCACAGACGCCUCGAAGUUGUGGAGCAGAGGCCUAUGAUAGGAGACUUCAAAAACAGAUGGCCUGCUCUGUUUGAGCCAAAUGAAGUGAAUGCAGAGUUCUUACGCAUCACCACCAAGCCACUGCAAUCAAAGUUCCUGUCACAGUUUGACCACUUUUCGGACAAGCUAAUGGAGAUCUUCACAUGCAAAGGAGGAGUUAAGGGGCAAAAGAUCAAGCGCAUCCUGGCAAUUAAAGACUUGUGCGAUGACAUCAACAUAAGGAGGGAGUGCAUCCUAAAAAGCCUUGUGGUCUACGUCAAUGAAGACCCGGAUGUGUUCUUUAAAGAGUAUUUGCCCACUGCUGUUGAGGAUGCAGAGAGGGACAUCACCACCACAGUCAUGUGCAUUUACACAAUCCGAAGAGACGGACAUGAGGAGCCUGAAGACGUGGGAGUCGUGAUUGAGGGUAUUAAAGUCCUCAACAACCUUGGAAGUGUCACUACAGGCUUCAUCAUGCUAUUCGGGCUCAUUUAUGCCCUUGAUCUGGCCUUUCCCGAAAAUCUGAAGUACACCUUCGAGUUCUUCCAGAAAAUCAUUAUGAACCUGGAUGGACACAAGCUGAAUUAAAAAAUUCAGCAGCUGAAAAUAAAGCUAUUUUCGUAAGGGACUCAGACUUGUUGUGUGUUGUUGUGUUCCAAGUACAGGUUACUAGUUUUAAAGUCAGCAGUUUUCUAAAAUGUUUUUCUGUGUAUUGACACAAAUCAGGAUGUUGUUUGUGAUAUGAUGUCAUCAAUCUGUUGAUGAGUUUCAUGUUUCAUGAAGUUCAACAUAUAUGUCUACGUAUAUGUGUAUAUUGUAUAUUGGAUGUGUUUUUAGCAGUUUUAAAUAAAAACACAUCAACCAGA